AUGGCCUUUUAGCAUAAAACUAUCUUGGGGAGAGGAACACGAGGCUACUCUGUAUGGUAGUUUAUGAUUGGGAAAGGAAGGGAUUAGAUGCAAAUACACAGAGGACCAAUUUAAAAUCAUCACGUCCAAUAUUCACCUGUCAGGCGCUGGGCUUUAGGGGACUCGCGGCCGUCUUCCCUGGGGUGACUGGCGCCCCACAACUGGGGGUCUGAGUUCUAGAAUUUCUCUCCAGCGUCGACAGAAGCCAUUAGCGCCCGGAGCCUGCGUCGGGGCACAGCUGAGCUAACAGACUGGCAACAGUGCACUGAGUCAGUGCGUUCGGACAGAGACUGAGGGAGACUCCACCCUGCCACCCUUGGCCUGCAGGCCCAUUCCCACUUUACCCGCUGCUGGGAUGCGCCUCCCGGGAGCGCCUGGCCUCUCGAACCGCAUCACUGGGGGGAACUCGGGCCAGCACAGCCUAGCCUUGCCAGGAGCGGUUGAGGCAUUACCCUAGGUCGAGUCGAGCUCCCUGCACCGCGACCAACCAACCCUAUGCAGCCGGUGCCACAGGGACCCCAGGAGACUCUAUAAUGCCAUCACCCCCAGAGCUGUGAACUGCAGUGGAGGCACGGGCGGCCCAGCUGCCAGGGAGCUGCCCGCAGCUUGCCCUCGGCAACUUCAGGUGCUCGGCGCGGGCCGGGGCGCAGAGGGCGGGGAGCGGGCUCAGAUUCCAGGGACCGGGCCAGGGCCGCGCGGGCCAGGCCGUUGGUGGAGCGAGUGGCGGUACGGGCUGCUGCGGGCCGCAGGGUGGCCAGGGGUCCGUGAGUGGGCAGGGCCGGGCGCCGCUGCGGAGCCCUCUGGACUGCUGGGAUCCUGUCCAACCAGGCUCCCAAAGUUCCUGAGGAGAUGUUCUGGGAGGUCAAGUAUUACGCGAUGGGCCACAUCAACCCGCAGGUUAUUCAGCUUCUGAAAGCUGGAAAAGCCAAGGAAGUCUCCUACAAUGCAUUAGCCUCACGCGUGAUUUCAGAGGAUGGGGAUAAUCCAGAGGUUGAAGAAGCUCAGGAAAUCACCUGUGGUUAAGGUUGGUACUAAUUUAAUUAAUUCUAUAUUUCUUUAUCAUAUACAUAUGGUUUUUUAAGAAGAUUUACUUAUUUUUAUUUGAGAAGCAGAGUUACAGACAGAAAGGGAGAGUCAGAGAGAGAGAGACAGAGAGAGAUCUUCCAUCCACUGGUUCACUCCCCAAAUGGCCGCAAUAACCAGAGCUGUGCUAAUCUGAAGCCAGGAACCAGGAACUUCCUCUGGGUCUCCCACAUGGGUGCAGGGACCCAAGCACUUGGGGCAUCUUCCACUGCUUUCCCAGGCCAUUAACAGAGAGCUGGAUUAGAAGUAGAGCACCUGGGACUCGAACUGACGCCUCUUUGGAAUGCCAGGGACAUGUAUGGAGGCUUAACAUUUAUACCACAAUAUCAGGUACAUAUCUUGAAAGCAAUAUAUUGAAGUUUCGGUGUAGCUCUUCUCAGAAUCUUUGCAAAAGCCGUGCUGUAUUUGCAGAGUUGCCAGAUGAAUAAGGUCCCUUGACAUUUCAAUUCCUUCCUCUUCCUACAAGCUUUCUUUCAGACCAUAGCCUGGAACUAUUAUCUCAUUAACGUGACUUGGCAUAUCCCAUCCCAUGCAGAUUUCAUGAUGAUAGGUAAGAAUGCAUUUUCAGGCUUUGGUCAUUAUUGCCAGACCACCACAGCAGUGGUCUUAAAACUUUCUUACUCCAAACCCACUUUGGUAAUAAAUAUUUUGAGCAUACCUUCUGUUUUCUUAAA
ensembl:lncRNA